rnacentral:rRNA from 1 species
CGAAAGCCUGACGGAGCAAUACCGCGUGGGGGAGGAAGGUUCUUGGAUUGUAAACCCCUUUUCUCAGGGAAGAACGCAAUGACGGUACCUGAGGAAUCAGCAUCGGCUAACUCCGUGCCAGCAGCCGCGGUAAUACGGAGGAUGCAAGCGUUAUCCGGAAUGAUUGGGCGUAAAGCGUCCGCAGGUGGCAGUUCAAGUCUGCUGUUAAAGACUGGGGCUUAACCCUGGAAAGGCAGUGGAAACUGAACAGCUAGAGUGCGGUAGGGGCAGAGGGAAUUCCUGGUGUAGCGGUGAAAUGCGUAGAGAUCAGGAAGAACAUCGGUGGCGAAGGCGCUUUGCUGGACCAUAACUGACACUCAGGGACGAAAGC